UAAACUAGGAUUAGAUACCCUAUUAUUUAAAAUGUAAAUUUGUAUAUUGGAUCAUUAAUAGUUAUGUGCUUUAAAAUUAAAGAAUUUGGCGGUAUUUUAGUCCAUUCAGAGGAACCUGUCCUGUAAUUGAUUCUCCACGUUGACACUUACUUAGUCUAAAGGUUUGUAUAUCGUCGUAGCUUGAGGAUUUUAAAAGAACAAUAAUCUUCAUAAUUUAUGUGUAUAAGGGAAUUCAGAUCAAGGUGCAGCUUAUGGCUAAGGAGAGAUGGGUUACAAUAAUUUUAUUUAAACGGAUAGGUUAUGUAAUAUAAUCUUGAAGGUGGAUUUGAAAGUAAUAUUAUCUAUCUUGUUAAUAUGAUUUAGGCUCUAAAAUAUGCACAUAUCGCCCGUCGCUUUCAUCGAAGUUGAAAUAAGUCGUAACAAAGUAGGCGUACUGGAAAGUGUGCCUGGAAAGGCAAAUUAAAGCUUUAAUAAGCAUCUUAUUUACAUUAAGGAGAUAUUUGUGAGAUUCAAUUUAGUGAAUUUAACUUAUUAUUAAUAUUUGGUGUGAGAAAUAAUUUUUCUAAAGAAAGAUAGGUUUAUUAUUAUAUGGAAUAGCUUACUUUAAUUAUAGAUAAUUAGUACUGUGAAGGAACUACUUUAUAUAGUAAAAAGAAGGUUUUAUUUAUUGUACCUUGUGUAUCAGGGUCUAUCAAUUAAAUAGUAAUUAUUUACUUUUCUCGAAUCUAAAAGAGCUAAUUUAGUAUAUAUUUUACUGUUGAAUAAGUAUUUAAAAUACUAAAUUAGUAAUGAAACGUUAUUCGUUUUUAGAUAUAUCUAGUUUCUUUAGAAAUGAAUUCAAUUCAGCUAAUUUUUUAAACUUGCUUUUAUUGAUAAGUUAUUUUAAAAAUUAAGUAAUAUUUUAAGGGAUGAGCUUUAAAAUAUUUCUAUAGAAUAAAAGUUUUAUAUAGGUUCGUAGGAUUAGAAGUUUCCAUCAUUCGUAGUGUGUUAUAGCAAUACUAAAGUAGAAAAUGAUUUUUAUAAUUCUUAGUUUUUUAUAAAGAAACUUAAUUUAAUUAUUAAGUUAAGGUUAUAAUGAUAGAAUUAGUAUAUAUUAAUGUAAAAAUAAUUUAACCCUUAAGGUUGAAUUAAGGAACUCGGCAAAUUUGUUUCUCGCCUGUUUAUUAAAAACAUGUCUUUUUGAUUUUUAUUUAAAGUCUGACCUGCCCACUGAGUAGUUUAAAGGCUGCAGUAUCCUGACUGUACAAAGGUAGCAUAAUCACUAGUCUCUUAAUUAGAGGCUUGAAUGAAUGGUUUGACGAGGGAACAGCUGUCUCAAUUUAAUUUUAUUAGAAUUUUAUCUUUAAGUUAGAAAGCUUAAAUAAUUUUAAAAGACGAGAAGACCCUAUAGAAUUUUAUAAAUUAACUUAGUUGAUACUUUUUAGUAUAUUUAGGGUUGGCUAGGUUAAUUUAUUUUGUUGGGGUGACAGAAAAAUUAGAAAAACUUUUUUUAUUUGAAACAAUUAUAUUUGAUUAAAUGAUCCGUUUAGACGAUUACAAGAUUAAAUUACCUUAGGGAUAACAGCGUAAUUUUUUUUGAGAGUUCUUAUUAAAAAAAAAGUUUGCGACCUCGAUGUUGGAUUAAAAUUAAUAUUUGGUGUAGAAGCUAAAUUAUUAGGUCUGUUCGACCUUUAAAAUUUUACAUGAUCUGAGUU
rnacentral:rRNA from 1 species